ACAUUGAGCUACAAGGAUUUGACUCCUGAGUCUCAAAAGGACACCAAGUACUGCCAAAUCUCAAACUCUGACAGCAAUUAAAGCCUCAUCUGCAGGCCCUGUAGAAGAUGCCAAUCAAAAUAAACUGUGUUCCUGAGACACAGGGGCAGAAAUUAAAGCUAUUCAACUCCUCAAGGCCAAGGGAUUAUCAUGGAAGAGAGCCAAGGAAAUUUUUUUGAGCUAUUGACAUCUUUUAACAAGUUACUAUACUCCUAUGAACAAAAUUUGGAACAUAUUUGUUUCUCUCUACCUGAUUUCUCCAGAAUUUGGAAACUACUUGAAUCAAACUGGACUUAUAGAGCAAAUAAAAAUCCCUUGGGAAAACUGGCCUCAUACCUUGUCUACACAGUUCCUGUACAGGGUUCCUGACCAGUGGAAUCUGAAGCCACCUUAAGGCAAAGGAAUGACUUCCAUGGAAUACAGAUGAAGUUGGUAAAAGGAAAUACAAAGGAGAAAAAGUACAUUUGUUCUGUUCUAUGACUAUUACUCUGAUACACUGGUAAUGCUAUGAUGAUGGAAGGAACAAAUAAAUGUCUCAGGAUCUUGAUCUUCUGAUAAUAGAGAGGGAAGUUAACAGUUCCUGUAUUUACAGGAACUGUAAUAGAGAGGGAAGUUCCUGUAUUUACAGGAAGAAUUUUAGCAGGGUAAACUUCAAAACCAGUAAAGGCUUGCGUGUUGCUACCAUAAAAAAGAACAAGAAAGCCAACCACAAAAAUUAAACACUAAAUUGAGCAAAGAAAGAAAAGGCAAUAUUACUACUGAAGUAUUAGAGAGCACUCACUACUUCCCUAUUUUACCUGCAUGUAUAACCUAUGACGUUACUCAUUUAUUUCUCUGUAUGUCAUUUGAGAAGUGACUUAUGGAGAGAGAAUAGAUAAAAUAGCAUUCCUUAAUUAAAUAUGGUAGGAUGCAACGUA
rnacentral:lncRNA from 1 species